rnacentral:rRNA from 1 species
GAUGAACGCUGACAGAAUGCUUAACACAUGCAAGUCGAUUCGAUUUACCUUCGGGUAUUGAGGAUGGCGGACGGGUGAGUAACGCGUAAGGAACUUGCCUCUUGGUCUGGGACAACUGUUGGAAACGACAGCUAAUACCGGAUAUUAUGAGAUUCUCGCAUGGGGAAUUUAUGAAAGCUAUAUGCGCCAAGAGAGAGCCUUGCGUUCCAUUAGCUAGUUGGUGGGGUAACGGCCCACCAAGGCGACGAUGGAUAGCCGGCCUGAGAGGGUGAACGGCCACAAGGGGACUGAGACACGGCCCUUACUCCUACGGGAGGCAGCAGUGGGGAAUAUUGGACAAUGGGCCACAAGCCUGAUCCAGCAAUUCUGUGUGCACGAUGAAGGUCUUCGGAUUGUAAAGUGCUUUCAGUUGGGAAGAAGAAAGUGACGGUACCAACAGAAGAAGCGACGGCUAAAUACGUGCCAGCAGCCGCGGUAAUACGUAUGUCGCAAGCGUUAUCCGGAUUUAUUGGGCGUAAAGCGCGUCUAGGCGGAAAAAUAAGUCUGAUGUUAAAAUGCGGGGCUCAACUCCGUAUUGCGUUGGAAACUGUUUUUCUAGAGUACUGGAGAGGUGGGCGGAACUACAAGUGUAGAGGUGAAAUUCGUAGAUAUUUGUAGGAAUGCCGAUGGAGAAGUCAGCUCACUGNACAGAUACUGACGCUGAA